rnacentral:rRNA from 1 species
GGGAAUAUUGGACAAUGGGCCACGAGCCUGAUCCAGCAAUUCUGUGUGGACGAUGAAGGUUUUCGGAUUGUAAAGUCCUUUCAGUAGGGAAGAAAAAAAUGACGGUACCUACAGAAGAAGCACCGGCUAAUUAUGUGCCAGCAGCCGCGGUAAGACAUAAAGUGCGAGCGUUAUCCGGAAUCACUGGGCGUAAAGGGCAUCUAGGCGGUUUAUUAAGUCAGGGGUGAAAAGCCGAAGGUCAACUUUGGUCUUGCCUUUGAAACUGAUAGACUAGAAUACGGGAUAGGAGGGCGGAACUACAAGUGUAGAGGUGAAAUUCGUAGAUAUUUGUAGGAAUGCCGAUGACGAAGGUAGCUCUCUGGACCGAUAUUGACGCUGAAGUGCGAAAGCUAGGAUAGCAAAC